AACGAACGCUGGCGGCAGGCUUAACACAUGCAAGUCGAGCGCCCCGCAAGGGGAGCGGCAGACGGGUGAGUAACGCGUGGGAAUCUACCCAUCUCUACGGAAUAACGCAUGGAAACGUGUGCUAAUACCGUAUACGUCCUUCGGGAGAAAGAUUUAUCGGAGAUGGACGAGCCCGCGUUGGAUUAGCUAGUUGGUGGGGUAAAGGCCUACCAAGGCGACGAUCCAUAGCUGGUCUGAGAGGAUGAUCAGCCACACUGGGACUGAGACACGGCCCAGACUCCUACGGGAGGCAGCAGUGGGGAAUAUUGGACAAUGGGCGCAAGCCUGAUCCAGCCAUGCCGCGUGAGUGAUGAAGGCCAUAGGGUUGUAAAGCUCUUUCACCGGUGAAGAUAAUGACGGUAACCGGAGAAGAAGCCCCGGCUAACUUCGUGCCAGCCGCCGCCGUAAGAC
rnacentral:rRNA from 1 species